rnacentral:tRNA from 1 species
GGAGAGGUGACCGAGUGGCCGAAGGUACUCCCUUGCUAAGGGAGCGUGGGUCAAAAGCCUACCGAGGGUUCGAAUCCCUCCCUCUCCG